UACGGGGGGGGCAAGCGUUGUUCGGAAUUACUGGGCGUAAAGGGCUCGUAGGUGGCCAACUAAGUCGGACGUGAAAUCCCUCGGCUUAACCGGGGAACUGCAUCCGAUACUGGAUGGCUUGAGUUCGGGAGAGGGAUGCGGAAUUCCAGGUGUAGCGGUGAAAUGCGUAGAUAUCUGGAGGAACACCGGUGGCGAAGGCGGCAUCCUGGACCGUAACUGACGCUGAGGAGCGAAAGCGUGGGGAGCGAACAGG
rnacentral:rRNA from 1 species